GGUUAAGCGACUAAGCGUACACGGUGGAUGCCCUGGCAGUCAGAGGCGAUGAAGGGCGUGCUAAUCUGCGAUAAGCGCCGGUAAGGUGAUAUGAACCGUUAUAACCGGCGAUACCCGAAUGGGGAAACCCAGUGUGACUCGUCACACUAUCAUUAACUGAAUCCAUAGGUUAAUGAGGCGAACCGGGGGAACUGAAACAUCUAAGUACCCCGAGGAAAAGAAAUCAACCGAGAUUCCCCCAGUAGCGGCGAGCGAACGGGGAGGAGCCCAGAGCCUGAAUCAGCAUAUGUGUUAGUGGAAGCGUCUGGAAAGGCGCGCGAUACAGGGUGACAGCCCCGUACACAAAAGCGCAUGUGCUGUGAGCUCGAUGAGUAGGGCGGGACACGUGGUAUCCUGUCUGAAUAUGGGGGGACCAUCCUCCAAGGCUAAAUACUCCUGACUGACCGAUAGUGAACCAGUACCGUGAGGGAAAGGCGAAAAGAACCCCGGCGAGGGGAGUGAAAAAGAACCUGAAACCGUGUACGUACAAGCAGUGGGAGCACCCUUUGGGGUGUGACUGCGUACCUUUUGUAUAAUGGGUCAGCGACUUAUAUUCUGUAGCAAGGUUAACCGAAUAGGGGAGCCGGAGGGAAACC
rnacentral:rRNA from 1 species